ensembl:lncRNA
CCGCAACCACGAGCUCUCUCCACCAUGUUGCGUUGCGAUGACUACUUUUCUGCGUCAUGAAGCGGUGUUCAACAUCUAGCUAUAUAUUUAGGGAUAGGUAAUGUUCUCACUAAGAUCGUUUAUCUACUAAAUUCUUUAUUUGAAUCUUAGAUUCGAAUUGCUUGCUAGUUCCAGAACACACGACAACCUUUAUAGCUACGUUUAAAGAUAGCUAGCUACGCGACGAGGUAGGCUACUUAGCUAGCUCUAGUCAAUUAGGGUAUACGUUAUAACUACCUAACGUUGCGUGAUGACACUGAUCCACCUGUCACUAUAUGCAAGCAGUUGCCAAGAUGCAUUGCUUGACAUGGGGAUGCUGUUGCCUGGGUAAAUGCCAACAUGGGCUUCUUCUGUGACCUGGUACAAGUCCUCCCCCCUGAAUGAUGAGGAAAUAGAGGAUGCUGUGCAGAUGCACAGAAAGGCCUAAACUCGAGAGGAAGAACAAGAAGCUCUCUCCCCAUGUUUUUAUUUAAUGAUUUUGCAGACUGUGAAACAUUCAUGGAUGACAUGGACAAAAGAGUGUCAAUUUUGAGCUUCUCUGUUAAUUAUGUGUUGAUGAGGAUACCUUCUUAGCUGUCUUUAAACCAUCAGCUAAUGCUGGUUUCCACACAACAAAAAUACAAUGGGGGUAUUUCAGAAAGCAGGGUUAACAUACUCUGAGUUUAAACAACAUCUCUGGGUUGACUCACUCUGAGCUGUCAAACUCAGAGUUGACGGGUUCAGAACAGGUGGUAACAAUCAGUUCAGUUCACUCUGAGUUAAUCCUGAGUAAAGCACAUGCAUGAGGAGAUAAAAAGCCCUAAUCAAUGGAACACAGUCUAACCUAUUACUGAUACGAUUAGACUGAUACCUACAAUUCUGUAUAAUUAUUUUUAGAUAAGUCUUGUGGGUCUGUGACUUGGGAACACUACAAAAGUGUACAGUAAACGUUUCAGUGCCAGAGUCACAUUUCUGACAGCCCGACAGAUGUUGCUUUGGAAAUAUACUCAGUGUCACCGAUGUUAUACAGAAACCUGCAACACAAAGGUUUUUCCCAAACUGAGAGCAAGUCUCAAUGUGUCAUAGGAACAAUAUGAGGUCAGAGAUUAUUGUUCAGAUAAAUCAGUUCCGGAUCCAUGGCUGGGCAAAGUGAAGAAUCUGUGCCCCCCGUUUUGUUUCACCUUAAAUGGUAUAUGAACUAGAUAUGCACCCAUUGAUAAAAAAACAAAAAAAGCCCCCUGAGUCAUUUCAUCCUGGAGCUGCUCCGAAGAAAUCUCCGUCGGUAGAGGGUGAUCAGACACCACUUGUUUUACCCUUCCCUGAUGUUUAUCUGUUUGAGUGUUAACAUUUUUCUGCACAUUCAACAUUUAUCUCAGGACCAGCUCCAGGAUAAAAUGACUGAGGGAGCCUUUUUUUAUCAAUGGUGGGCAAAUCUAAUUGAUAUACCAUUUGCAGUGUUUAAGGGGAAACAAUGCCCACUUUGUCCCCUUGUGGAUCUGGGACUGAUUUAUCUGAACAAUAUUCUCAUCCCUCAUAUUUUGCUCAACUGUGCCUUCUACUAAUAUUAACAAGACGGCACAUACUGUGGUCCCUGUAUUAUUCACUAUCCUAUAUCCAAGGAGAAGCAGUCAUGAGCAGCUAUCUUAAAUAUAUUGGCCUACAGGCCCGCUUCAAGCAUAGAAAAGCAUACCACUCUUUCUACAUGAUUCACUAUGCACUGCCCUAUUAUUAUACAAUGUAGAAAACAAAGUAAAGAAAUCCCCUGGAAGCAGUAGUUGUGUCCAUACUUGUGCCUGGUACUGUACAUAGGCCUACAUAUAAAACUGAAGCUGUUCAAAUCAUCACGCCACCGAUCUUCAGGUCGGAGAGAGAGAGAUAG